rnacentral:rRNA from 1 species
UACGUAGGGUGCAAGCGUUAAUCGGAAUUACUGGGCGUAAAGCGUGCGCAGGCGGUUUUGUAAGUCUGUCGUGAAAGCCCCGGGCUCAACCUGGGAAUUGCGAUGGAGACUGCAAGGCUUGAAUCUGGCAGAGGGGGGUAGAAUUCCACGUGUAGCAGUGAAAUGCGUAGAGAUGCUGGAGGAACACCGAUGGCGAAGGCAGCCCCCUGGGC